GACGUAGGGCGCAAGCGUUGUCCGGAUUUACUGGGCGUAAAGAGCGCGCAGGCGGUCGUACAAGUCGCGUGUGAAAGCCCCCGGCUCAACUGGGGAGGGUCACGCGAUACUGAUCGACUCGAAGGCAGGAGAGGGUAGUGGAAUUCCCGGUGUAGUGGUGAAAUGCGUAGAUAUCGGGAGGAACACCAGUGGCGAAGGCGGCUUGCCAGAAUGCGCUCGACGGUGAGGGAUGAAAGCUGGGGGAGCAAACCGG
rnacentral:rRNA from 1 species